rnacentral:rRNA from 1 species
GAUGAACGCUAGCGGCAGGCCUAAUACAUGCAAGUCGGACGGGAUCCAUCGGUAGCUUGCUAUCCAUGGUGAGAGUGGCGCACGGGUGCGUAACGCGUGAGCAACCUGCCUCCAUCAGGGGGAUAGCCUCUCGAAAGAGAGAUUAACACCGCAUAACAUAUCAGACCGGCAUCGGUCGGAUAUCAAAUAUUUAUAGGAUGGAGAUGGGCUCGCGUGACAUUAGCUUGUUGGUGGGGUAACGGCCCACCAAGGCGACGAUGUCUAGGGGCUCUGAGAGGAGAAUCCCCCACACUGGUACUGAGACACGGACCAGACUCCUACGGGAGGCAGCAGUAAGGAAUAUUGGUCAAUGGGCGGAAGCCUGAACCAGCCAUGCCGCGUGCAGGAUGACUGCCCUAUGGGUUGUAAACUGCUUUUGUCCGGGAAUAAACCUCCUUACGUGUAGGGAGCUGAAUGUACCGGAAGAAUAAGGAUCGGCUAACUCCGUG